UACGUAGGGCGCAAGCGUUAUCCGAAAUUAUUGGGCGUAAAGAGCUCGUAGGCGGUUUGUCGCGUCUGCUGUGAAAGACCGGGGCUCAACUCCGGUUCUGCAGUGGGUACGGGCAGACUAGAGUGCAGUAGGGGGAGACUGGAAUUCCUGGUGUAGCGGUGAAAUGCGCAGAGUAUCAGGAGGAACACCGAUGGCGAAGGCAGGUCUCUGGGCUGUAACUGACGCUGAGGAGCGAAAGCAUGGGGAGCGAACAGG
rnacentral:rRNA from 1 species